UGGCCAAUCUUGUCCCCCAACUACCCCCGUUUGACCUGCGAAAGGUAAGAGGUGCUUAAAUGAAAAUGAAAGAAAGAUUUUCUUCAUUUCUUCUUCUUCUUCUUCUUCUUCUUACAAAGUAGCUAAUGGAGGCCAUUCAAAGAGAAACACUCGCCUCACUCUCAAACUCUGUGAAGCUGUUGUUAGAAAAGAUUGGUCCUAUCGACAAAUUCGGGAAGAAGAUGCAUAGAGCUCCAUUCUUGAAAGAGGUGAAGGAAACACUGGUGAAUCUUGAAGAUCUACUUUAUUAUGCUAAGAAGAAACUCAUCCCCUGCCAAGCUAACAACAAAUCGCUGGAUAUGCUGAGACGUGCUGUUUUUCAAGUUGCCUAUUUGCUUGACCAAAGAGAUUUUUUACGGUAUGAUACUCCUUUCCAUCUCAUUCACAACAUGGAUUAUGGUUUAUCUUUUUUCAUUGCAGUGACUAAGUCUAAAAUGAACGGUUUAAGUCAACUAUUACAAGGCUUAUAUUCAGGAAAACAACUUGGUGAAGAUGAAUCUUCUAUUUAUGGAAGAGAGGCUGAUAUUGAGAAACUUAAACAUCUUUUGUUGUCUAGUAGUGAUGGUGAUACUAAAACAAGAGUGAUUUCCAUUGUUGGUAUGGGAGGCAUUGGUAAAACAGCCCUUGCUAAACACCUUUUCAAUCUUCCUCAAGUUAAGGCCAAAUUUAAGUUCAAACUGUGGGCAGAUUUCUCAAAAGAUGUUAAUGAUUUCAGUGUUUUUAAAAACAUUCUUAGAUCUAUUACUUCAAAAACAACGAGUAAUGCUACAAGUGACAUCAACACCAUUUACCCAAAUUUUUUGCUGGUAUUGGAUGGUGUGUGGGAUGCAAGAUUUGUCAAUUGGACAUUACUCAUGGAUAUCUUGAAUGCUGGGGAGACAGGAAGUAGGAUCAUUGUAACAUCAAGAGAUGAAAGAGUUGCAAUGUCCAUGAAAACAUUUGUUUUUGUUCACUAUAUGAGACCCUUGAAAGUUGAAGAUUGCUGGUCUUUACUAGCCGAACAUGCAUUUGGAGCACACAACUACCAUCAAGUAUAUUAUCCAAAAGAAAUUAGCGCACCUAACAAAGAAAAGCGAGAAGAGAUUGGCCGGAAAAUUGCAAAAAAGUGUGAUGGAUUACCAUUAGCUGCUGUAGAAUAUGGGGCUCUUCCUUGCAUCUCACGGAGCUCAGAUGUUUGGGAUUAUGUGCUAGAAAGCCACGCUUGGGAAACAGCUUAUGAGGUGCUAGCUUCUCUCAAAUUGAGCUACAAUUUUCUUUCUCAUCCUUUAAAACAGUGUUUUCAAUAUUGUUCAAUUUUUCCAAAGAAGUCCAUCUUAGAAAAAAAUAUGGUAGUUCAGUUGUGGAUUGCAGCAGGCUUACUAGAUUCAUCAUCCACAAAUCAAGAAAAAGUUGGAGAAGAAUACUUUGAUGAACUAGUGUCAAGGUCAUUGAUACAUCGGCGGUCUAUUGGUGAUGAGGAAAGAAACUUUGGAAUGCACAAUUUCAUCCAUGAUUUAGCUACGGAGGUUUCAUCUUCAAAUGAUUAUUCUUCAUACCGUAUCAGCAUGGGCAAACGUAACCUUGAUGGUAGGAUGCAUAAUAUCUCAUACAAUAGAGGGAAAUAUGAUUCAUAUGACAAAUUUGAUAAAUUAUACGGAUUAGAAGGUUUGCGUACCUUCUUAGCAUUCCCAUUACAAGAACAACUUCCUCUUUGUUUGCUAUCCAACAAGAUAGUACAUGACUUGCUGCCAAAAAUGAAACAAUUACGCAUGUUGUCUCUGUCAAGCUACAAGAGUAUCACCAAGGUUCCCAAUUCUAUUGGAAAUUUGUUAGACCUGCGGUACUUAAAUCUUUCUCACACUAAUAUCGAAAGGCUCCCUUCUGAAACAUGCAAGCUUUACCAUCUGCAGUUCUUGUUGUUGGCAGGCUGUAAAAGGCUCGCUGAAUUGCCGAAGGACAUGGGAAAAUUGAUUAAUCUGCAGUACCUUGAUGUUAGUAACACCGCAUUGAGAGAGAUGCCCGUACAAAUAGCCAAACUAGAAAAUCUCCACACUUUGUCUGACUUUGUUGUCAGCAAACAGAAUGGUGGAUUGAAUAUUGCAGAGCUAGGAAAACUUCCCCACCUACAUGGAAAACUAUCAAUCUCACAGCUACAAAAUGUUAAUGACCCCUUUGAAGUAGAUCGAGCCAAUAUAAAGAAGAAUGAACAAAUAGACGAGUUAUCUUUGGAAUGGGAUCUUGGUAGUACUUUUUUAGAUUUACAAAUUCAAAGUGUUGUACUUGAAAAGUUGCGACCCUCAACAAAUUUGAAAAGUCUCACCAUCAAAGGCUAUGGUGGAAUCAGCUUUCCAAAUUGGUUAGGUGAUUCUUUAUUUAGCAACAUGGUGUGUUUAAGGAUCUCGAAUUGUAAUGAUUGUUUAUGGCUUCCACCCCUUGGAAAAUUGGGAAAUUUGAAAGAACUCGUUAUUGAAGGGAUGCACUCAGUGGAGACAAUUGGUAUUGAGUUCUAUGGAAGUGGUGAUUCUUCGUUUCAAUCAUUUCCCUCUUUGCAGAUUCUACACUUUGAGAAUAUGGAAGAGUGGGAGGAAUGGGACUUGAUUGGAGGUACGCCUAUAAUGUUUCCUAGUCUAAAAACUUUAUCCCUAAGGAAGUGCCCAAAACUGAUUGUAGGAAACAUAAUUGACAGAUUUCCUUCCUUAAUUGAACUUGAGUUAAGAGAAUGUCCUUUAUUGGUGCAAUCAAUUCCAUUAUUUGAUCAUGUAUUUGGGCAACUGAUGUUCCCUCUGAACUCUCUUCAACAGCUGACCAUAGACGGUUUUCCAUCUCUGAUGUCGUUCCCAACAGAGGGUUUACCAAAAACCUUGAAGCUUCUUAUAAUCAGCAACUGUGAGAAUCUAGAAUUCCUUCCUCACGAUAACUUGCAUAAUUAUACAUCGCUUGAGGAAUUGAAAAUAUCUUAUAGUUGUAAUUCAAUGAUAUCAUUUACCUUAGGCACUCUCCCUGUCCUCAAGAGUCUGUUUAUUGAAGGUUGUAUGAAUCUGAAAUCAAUAUUAAUUGCAGAAGACGAGUCGGAAAAGAGUCUCUCAUUUCUUAGAAGCCUCAAAAUAUGGGAUUGUAAUGAACUGGAGUCAUUUCCCCCAGGUGAAUUGGCAACUCCAAACCUUGUUUAUAUUGCACUGUGGAAGUGUGAGAAGCUUCAUUCACUGCCAGAAGCAAUGAACAGUCUAUUUGGCCUUCAUGUAAUGGAAAUUGAUAACCUACCGAAUCUUCAAUCUUUUGUCAUAGAUGAGUUGCCUAGCAGUUUACGAAAACUGUCUGUUGGCUUUGUUGGUGGGAUUAUGUGGAAUACCGGGCCAACUUGGGAACAUCUCACUUGUCUCUCGGAGUUGCGAAUUAACGGCGAUGAUAUGGUGAACAUGCUGAUGGUGCCAUUGCUACCUAAAACGCUUGUGAAACUAUGCAUUUGUGGUCUUACUGAUAGAAGCAUUGGUGAGAGGUGGCUUCAACAUCUUACUUCUCUUCAAAACCUUGAGAUUAUUAACGCUCCCAAACUCAAGUCAUUGCCAAAGAAAGGAUUUCCUUCCUCGCUUUCAGUAUUAAGUGUGACUCGCUGUCCAUUACUAGAAACAAGUUUGCGGAAAAAGUGGGGGAAAGAGUGGCGUAAGAUUGCUCACAUUCCCUCCAUAGUUAUUAAUGACGAAUUGAUCACAUGAGUCUUGUUCGGAAUUGUGUUUUGUGUCACCCCUGCUUCUUCCCAAUCUUGCUGUUGUAAGAAGCCAAAUUCACCUCAAAACCUCCCUUCAAGUGUAAUUGAUGGCUUGCACAAAGAUAGCAGCAACUCUAUUGGAGGGAUUAUGUGGAAUACUGAGCCAACUUGGGAACAUCUCACUUGUCUUUCAGUGUUGGGAAUUAACGACGAUGGUGCGGGAAAAACGGUGAUGGGGCCACUUCUACCUGCAUUGCUUGUGAAAUUAUGCAUUUGUGGUUUUAAUGAUAAAAGCAUUGAUGGGAUGUGGCUUCGACAUCUCACAUCUCUCAAAAACCUUGAAAUUGUGAACGCUCCCAAACUCAAGUCUUUGCCCAAAGGAUUGCCUUACUCUCUUUCAAUACUAAGUAUCACUCGCUGUCCAUUACUGGUAGCAACAUUGCGGAGGAAGCGAGGGAAAGAGUGGCGUAAGAUUGCUCACAUUCCUGCCAUAAUUAUCGACGACGAAUUGAUCACAUAAGUUUCAUCUCUAGGUGAGUCUCUAAAGUACUUUUUUUGUGUGUCUUUCUUAUUAUGUACUCAUCAUUUAAUAUUAUAAUGCUAACUCAUUUUUUAAUCAUUGCAUUACAUUCUAUGUCACCCGUGCUUCUGCCCAAUCUUGCUGUUGUUAGAUGCCAAAUUCACAUGCACUGACUGCAACCAAAUCCAAUCGACCAAGGGCUUCAUGUGCGAUUGAAGACUUGCAACAAGAUGGCAGUACUGGAAUCUAAGUUACCUUACAGUUCUAAAGUAAUUGUUAGAAAGCUAGUAGAUGGGGAUCAUUGUGGUGGCUGCUGAACUAUUUUGCACUGUGGAAGUGUAAGAAACUUUUGCACUUGCAGAACCGCCUGUUUGCAGAUCAACCAGGGGCCUAUUGCGUGAUUGGAACCAAGAUGGAAGGAAUGGCAUCUCUGGUUUGAAUUUCCUCUUUGAUACAGAAAGGAGAUGACUGCUGGAGUAACUACGACGAGCAACAAUCAUCUGUCAGAUUUGAUUUUGCAGCAACUGCUUUACCAUAGAACAUUGGAUGCAGUAGAGAGGAUCCAUUUUCAUGUGAAUAAAAAGAGGAGCAGUGUUUUCUUAUAGGAGCAGUGUUAUUCCUAUUCAUUCAAACUAAGCAGCUUUGGGUGACUUUUGUGCCUAAAACACUUUUUCCAGUUUAUGAGGAGGUGUCGUUUGAAUAAUCAUGUUUUAAUUUUUACAACUUCUUGUUCAUGACUCAUGAGUUGUAUUUGUAUGUGCAUAUUUUGAUUAGAGAGACAUGACUUAUAAGUUAGUUGUAAAUAACAUUGAUGUGACUUUGUAUAUCACAAUGAUCCUCAUGACAAAUUUGAUAUUGGACAUGUUUUAGCAAGGUUUGCAUAGCACUGGCAUAUCAUUUAUAAAUGAACCCGUUUAUUUUCUGUCACUUUAUU